rnacentral:rRNA from 1 species
GCUUGACUGUAGUUUGGAAUAGGGUUCGGGCUUUUCUUGCGCAGCCUAGGUGGGAGGCAUUGAAGAUUUCUUUUCGGGGAAAUCGGAGCCAUCAUUGAGAGACCACUCUGGAAGAGCUAGAAUCCUAAUGGCGUUCCUUGAAUCAGGACGCUUGACAGUUUCAGAUGGGCAGUUUUCUUGGGGCGAGAUUCUCCUAAAGGGUAACGGAGAAGCGCAAUGGUCCCCUCAACCUGGACGGAAAUCAGGCUUUGAGUGCAAAGGCAUAAGGGGGCUUGACUGCAAGACCUACAAGUCGAGCAGGGGCGAAAGCCGGCCUUAGUGAUCCGACGGUGCCGUGUGGAAGGGCCGUCGCUCAACGGAUAAAAGUUA